AGUUCCCUCCUUUCCUCUCAUGCCUGGUCAGCCAGCCUGCAUGAGGCUCUCUACGUUUGAGACUGGCUUCUCCAUGGAACUUGGUCUGUAGCCACAGAGCAAACUGCAGGGCCAGUGACAGAGAAUGAAGAGGAGAGUGAGGAGUGGAACACAUCUAAUGUGUUCUCUGGAGGGAUUCCAGGACCAUCCCAAGGACUUUCUGCCCUUGAGAAAUGUCUCCUGCAAAAAGGGGAAGGUCCCUCCAUUGUGCUCUCAUCAAAGCUCUGUGGGUUGAGCCUCUUGCUCAGUCAGCACUUCUACUUCAGAAUGGGAAAGGUGGCAGUCUAGAAGGCAAGAAUGUGUCCAGAUCCUGAGCAGAUGAUAGCAUCAGAUGAACACAUGACAUUGAGAAGUGCUCUCCUCAAACUGAGGUCUGGAUUCAAUAUAAUCUCAAUAAAAAUCCCAAAAGAUAUUUUUAGGGAACCUGACAAGCUCAUUAUAAUUUAUGUGGACAUACAAAGGGCCAAGAAGAGGCAAGACUCUCUUGAGAAGACAUCCUUCCCUACCACAUGUUAGAAUUUGUUAAACAAAUUAUGAUAAUUAAGAUAGUGCAAAUAGACAAAUAGACCAAUGGCACAGAACAGAGUCUAGAAACGGACUUGCAUAUAUGGGGACACCUUCUUUAUGGCCGCAGUAGCACAGCAGACCAGUGAGGAAGGACUGUCUCUUCAAUAAGUUGGUGGUGGGUCAACUGGGUACUUGUUUGGAAAGAAAAAAUGAAGCUGGAUUCCUACCUCACACUGCACUCGAAAACCAAUUUCAGGUGGAAUACAGAUCUCACUGAGAAAGGGUAAAACAACAAAUCCUCUUAAAUAUUAAUAGCUCUGCCCACAGAUGGCCAUGGAGCUCUUGAGAUGUACUAUGAAGUACAAAAUCUGCACUGGAUUUUAAGCAUUAGUAGGACAAAACAAUGUAAAAUAUCUCGAUAAUUUUUAUAUUCAAACAUUGAAUCAUUGACAAAUUGGAUAUACUGAGUUAAAUAUCACAUUAUUAAAAUUAGUUUUAUCUAAUUCUUGCCCUCUUAAUGCAAAUACUACAAUGUUUUAAAUUACCUGAGUGGCUCAGCUCACACUUUCAUUGAACAGCACUGCUCUGAAAAGUAAUAUAAAAAUAACCUCAGGUCAUCAAAUUAGAAAAAGAUGUCUUAAAUGAAAAUUAAGAAACAAUAAUCAUAAAGGAAAAGACUAAUAUAUUUGACUACGUCUAACUUUUGGUGUGCAAAAGACACCAUUAAGAGACUAAAAUGGCAAGCCACACAGACGGAAAGUAAAUUUGCAGCAUGUACAGCCCUCAAAAUAACAUA